rnacentral:rRNA from 1 species
GAUGAACGCUGGCGGCGUGCCUAAUACAUGCAAGUCGAGCGAACAGACGAGGAGCUUGCUCCUCUGACGCUAGCGGCGGACGGGUGAGUAACGCGUGGAUAACCUACCUAUAAGACUGGGAUAACUUCGGGAAACCGGAGCUAAUACCGGAUAAUAUAUUGAACCGCAUGGUUCAAUAGUGAAAGACGGUUUUGCUGUCACUUAUAGAUGGAUCCGCGCCGCAUUAGCUAGUUGGUAAGGUAACGGCUUACCAAGGCAACGAUGCGUAGCCGACCUGAGAGGGUGAUCGGCCACACUGGAACUGAGACACGGUCCAGACUCCUACGGGAGGCAGCAGUAGGGAAUCUUCCGCAAUGGGCGAAAGCCUGACGGAGCAACGCCGCGUGAGUGAUGAAGGUCUUCGGAUCGUAAAACUCUGUUAUUAGGGAAGAACAAAUGUGUAAGUAACUAUGCACGUCUUGACGGUACCUAAUCAGAAAGCCACGGCUAACUACGUG